rnacentral:rRNA from 1 species
GGAUUAGAUACCCUGGUAGUCCUAGCUGUAAACGAUGGGCACUGGGUAGAGGAGGCGUCGAUACCUUCUUUGCCGUAGCUAAUGUGUUAAGUGCCCCGCCUGGGGAGUACGGUCGCAAGGCUAAAACUCAAAGGAAUUGACGGGGGCUCACACAAGCGGUGGAGCAUGUGGUUUAAUUCGAAACAACGCGAAGAACCUUACCCGGGUUUGAAAUCCUUGGAUGCAGCCUGUGAAAGCAGGUGCGCUGCCCUUCGGGGUGAAACUUGGACAGGUGUUGCAUGGCUGUCGUCAGCUCGUGCCG